AUUGAACGCUGGCGGCAGGCCUAACACAUGCAAGUCGAGCGGAUGAAGGGAGCUUGCUCCUGGAUUCAGCGGCGGACGGGUGAGUAAUGCCUAGGAAUCUGCCUGGUAGUGGGGGAUAACGUCCGGAAACGGGCGCUAAUACCGCAUACGUCCUGAGGGAGAAAGUGGGGGAUCUUCGGACCUCACGCUAUCAGAUGAGCCUAGGUCGGAUUAGCUAGUUGGUGGGGUAAAGGCCUACCAAGGCGACGAUCCGUAACUGGUCUGAGAGGAUGAUCAGUCACACUGGAACUGAGACACGGUCCAGACUCCUACGGGAGGCAGCAGUGGGGAAUAUUGGACAAUGGGCGAAAGCCUGAUCCAGCCAUGCCGCGUGUGUGAAGAGGGUCUUCGGAUUGUAAAGCACUUUAAGUUGGGAGGAAGGGCAGUAAGUUAAUACCUCGCUGUUUUGACGUUACCAACAGAAUAAGCACCGGCUAACUUCGUG
rnacentral:rRNA from 1 species